rnacentral:rRNA from 1 species
GACGAACGCUGGCGGCGUGCUUAACACAUGCAAGUCGAACGGUAAGGCCCUUCGGGGUACACGAGUGGCGAACGGGUGAGUAACACGUGGGUGAUCUGCCCUGCACUUCGGGAUAAGCCUGGAAACUGGGUCUAAUACCGGAUAGGACCACUGCCUGCAUGGGUGGUGGUGGAAAGCUUUUGCGGUGUGGGAUGGGCCCGCGGCCUAUCAGCUUGUUGGUGGGGUGAUGGCCUACCAAGGCGACGACGGGUAGCCGGCCUGAGAGGGUUACCGGACACACUGGGACUGAGAUACGGCCCAGAGUCCUACGGGAGGCAGCAGUGGGGAAUAUUGCACAAUGGGCGCAAGCCUGAUGCAGCGACGCCGCGUGAGGGAUGACGGCCUUCGGGUUGUAAACCUCUUUCAGCACCGACGAAGCGCAAGUGACGGUGGGUGCAGAAGAAGGACCGGCCAACUACGUGCCAGCCGCCGCAGUAA